GGCCUUCUUACGCCGUCUCCGUAGCGCCCCGCCCUCGCUGGCGCCCGGCUGACGUAAAGCUGCUUCGGGAAUCGAUGCUGGCCCUACGCGAAAUGCGCAGCCUCUCCCCCGGCGCAGUAACAGGUACAGUUUCCACCUCAACAAAAUCAAACCUGCUCAGGAAGAACUACGGCUACGUCAUCCCCAUAAACUGCUGGUGUUCAGUCUCCAUGAACAGUUUUGUCAGUGGACCUGAAUGAGACUGCAGAGGGAGAGGAAGCAGCAGAACUGGGACCAGCAAGCAGAUGUCCUGAGUCAACACAAGGAACUCCAGACUGACAUUCCAGUAUAACCCCCAGCGCGUUGAAAUAGUUCAGUUUCUGAGAGAUCCUCCAGCUCCCUCUGACAUUCCUGUAAGCUGAGAUUUCAGCUCUGUUGGGAGAAGCCUUCAUCCUGUUCCCGGUUGGCAGAAGGAUUUGUCACACAGCAAGGGACACAGCUGGGCCCUGAAAGACAAGCUGGGUGGAGAGCACAGGCAGAGUUGGCUCUGGUGUAGUCCCCGCUCGCUGUUCCUGGGCUGAGUCAUGGUAGAAGUCAGCGAGGUGCGUGUUCCCCAGCCGCUGUCUACAGCCAGCUUCACCGCUUCUCCUGCACGGUCACUUUGGUCCCGGCAGUAGGAUGGGGGUGCAACCCUGCACUGGGCAGGAGGGGAUUGAAGUGGGACCGCAAGCACUGUCAGAUGUCAGGCUGUGAGGCCCCCGGCUCAGGCCUGGGGCUGCUGUGCAGCUGGAGUCUCCUCGAUGCAAGACUUGCCAGUGAAAGAAAGCCUUGCAUUUGCCAGAAUGCUUUCAGAUUGUCAUCUUUGCCAGCCAAAGCAGUCUCUUCUUGUCUGCUUCCAAGAAGCAUGAGCUUAAACAACUGGUCUCAGAGUGGGGUGUAUCUACAGUCUUAGCCAUGAGGAGAGGUGAUGAAAUGUUCUCCUCUUCAGUAUAUGCAGAAGAGACUGGAGCUUAGCUCCUAUCUUCAUAACAGUAAAACUACAGUGAAAUCUGAAUUCUUUGUUCAUGUUUCACUGCCUACUUUGAGGAAAACAGUGAUCAUGAGAUCAGACGUCAGCCUCAGGGAGGAUAAGCUUCAAAAGGAAAAGGCUUCUGCAGCUGAGGACAGUCUGUUACUUUGGAAACUCUCUGGGCUGUGGCCUCACAUGGUGGAAAGAUUCGGCAGAGUCAACUGAAAUGUGCUGGCAUAUCAGAAGGGAAGGACUACUUUGCAUUCAGGAAGUUGCUCGUUUUGUGAUUAGCAUCACCAUGGCCCCGGAGGGAAGGGAUGGCACUGUCUGGAUAGAUUUCAGAUCUGCUGAGGGAACUUGCACCUGAUACUCACUCAGCCUGAGAUCCAGUCUACAAGUAGAAGAGUCGCCUGACACCAACUGAUGGCUUUGGGUUUAGGGUCGAAGAGAUGAUGUGCUGUGUGGGGCCACAGUGUGAAAUGAGAGUGGUCAGAAGUACAGUUCACCCAGUAGAUGUGACAUAAGUUUCCAGCCUCAGUUUGGCAGGGGAAUGUACAGAGGAGAGGGCAGUGUGCAGCCACUCUCAGUUACCAACCUGGGUCUCCGUGGGGAACAGGGCUGACAGUAGCUCCUGCUGUGAUUGCCAUGGAGGAAGCUAGGUCUGCGAACUUCUCCAGAGCUGGUCAAGGUGACUGCAGGUGACUUUUCCAGCUCCCCCUUUCAAUCUGCUCUGCCUGCAGUGGUGGUGAAGGAGAAUGCCGUGUGUUUUCUGUGUUUGCGAACAAUUAAUAGUGGUACCGCGUUCCGCUGGAACAGCAUGUAAAACGCACCCCAGGAGGGGAAAAAAUAACAACCAAGCGGACUGUUAAGCAGGCCAGGGCUUUUGCUGUCCUGUAGGAAAACACAAUAUGAGGGUUUGCUUAUUCAUCAGCAGCAGUAAAUAACGGGCGCUCACCUUGAGUUCUCCUUCAGCUACUUCUUCAUCUCCCCAGCCUCUGUGCUAGGCACAGAAAAGAAAUGUUUACUGUAUUUUGGAUGACAAACUGUGUUUUUAUAGCUGUCCAAAUUUUAGCUGUUGUUUUCUCUCUGAAAAAGCAUGGUUUUCAUAGCUUUGUCUUCUUCCCCAGCAUCAAAAGCCUCUGGAGUGCAUUCUGCCAGUCUGACACUGAAAAUUAGUCGUGAGCCAUUUGCCUGAACCUGUCAACCCCACAUCAUACCCACGCGUUGUGUAUGCAGGUGGUUUGGCUUGGGAAGGACGCAUAAUGCACGUUAGUCAUUUAAUACGUUUAUAAUCUAAUCUCUCAGAAUGGUGCAGUCAGCAGUUUUUCUUGCUCCUUCUGCAGAAGACACCUUUCUGUCCCUACAUCGUUCUGUGCCGGUGCCAGGAGAAGGUGCUGGCUUGCCUAGCACCGGGGUGCUAAGUCCCUUCAACAAAGGCUACGGCAGCACCAGCUUCCCCACACUGACCCUUGACUGCGCCUCUGCCCGCCCUGGCAAGGCAGGACCUAUGUCCUGAAGAGCGACUGUUGUCCUGUGAGCCCCCGGAGCCAACAGCCUCUUCACUGGGGUCAAAUGCAGGAGUGUCUGCCUGACAGCUCCAGCUGUACCGGGAGCCUCCAGCACGCGCCUUGCCAUCGAAUGCCCACAGCAUCUCUUCGCUGCAUCCAGACAUCCUGACUUUCAGUGGAUCUCGCUCAAGCUGAACGUGAGCCCAGAGGUGCAGAGCUUACAGAGCUUUUUCCCCCCAACCAUCUGUGCUCUAGAGUCAUCCCAUCUUGUCUCAUUUUCCGGUGGGGAAGAGAAAGGCGAGGCAGCGCGUGAGUUGGAGACUGCAGUGUGCCUUGGAAGUCCCAGCAAGCCACAAGUGGCCAAGAUCUACGAAGCGUACCUGUCUGUGAGGAGCAGCUUUGCUCCUUUUUUAAUAGGUGACUUUGAUGGGUGAGAUGGAGCAGGAGCAACCCCUAAGAGCCUGCAGGGUCCCAUGAAACGCAAACUACACCAAAGAACAUACUCUUCAGGGUAAGCCACGCUGGUAAAGUUUCUUCUGCAGGUUUUUCCAUCGCUCCUUCAGCUGGCUUAUUAUCUUUUCCAUCUGUGUAUUUGGGUCUCCCACCACCCCAAACUCUUCUCCCAGGUGCAGCAGCUAUGGACUGGUUUAUGUAGAUGGGGUUUAACAAGUCCGCCCCCACCUGCUCCUGAAUCGCUGACAAGGCCAAUUUGCCUGUUCACCCAUCAACGUGAAAGCACGUGCAAAAUUUUACCUUGGCUGACUUAAUUGUUAGGAGCUGCAACCCCGACGUCUUUGUAAAUAAAAUGGUUUAAUCUCAUGGGGCAUAGCUGGUGGAGAGAGUUGAAUAAAUACAUCAAUAUGGAAAUAGAUCCACAAGAGGGGGAUGAACUGGGACUUUGCAAAACUGAUAAAGCAUCUUAGGAGACAUGUUGCUGCUACACUUCUUGCAUACUCUGCCUAAGCAGACAGUAAUGCUGGAUCUCAGCCCUGGGUUGUGGGAGAGGAAGGGAGGGAGGGAAUGUGGGCCCUAGCACACCGUGACUGAAAUUCUUUUAUGGAUUGAUUUGACUCAAAUAUAUUCUGGGGCUGGUCUAAUUGCUAGUUUAGUCUUGGGCUUUGAUUUUCCUGUUGCUUUCACGUCUCCGCUGCUGCAUCUUUCCUGUAUUUCAAGCAGCCUUACUGGGGGCAGCACCCAGGCCAAACAGAUCCUGUGUCAGACCAGAAUGCAUGAUACCCGUCCUGCUGAGCCCUUCCGCGAAGGGUACGUGGCGGAGUUCAAGGUACGUGGCAUGAGUUAAAGGGAGUGAAGGUCGGACUUUUGCUCCGUGGGUGCUUUUCCUGUGUAAGGACAUCAGGUUUUAUUUUGAGUAACAAAGCCUGAAGCUUCCACGUUGUUCAUGGUGGGCCCAUGCUGGUGCGGCCCUCAGCAGAAGUCUCCCUCCUGAAUUGCAGCAGCCUAGUUAAAUGCAGCAGAAAAAGAAGAUGCCAUGGCCGAUAUGUUCGUGCUGACACGCAUCCUGCAGGAUCCUGUCCGCCAUGGGACUGGGUAUUUGCAAGCUGCCUCUGUAGACAGCAGCCCUAACUUCUCCCUGCCUUGUAUCCCGGGCCGUGGUGCCCACCCAUGUGAAGUGCCGCUCUGCUGAUCUGGUGCGGCUGUACUUCCACCCCCCGGGUGGAAAGAGAGACACGAAGUGGAGAAUCCUGCCGGGCGUUUGGUUCACGAGUCGCAGCUCUGCCUGCCGUGUGUCAGACGGGGAAACCCAGCAACCCGCCGGGGACCUCAGGCAGCUGGACGGUUCUGGGCCGAUCUCCGCGGAAAGGCGAGGAGAAGCCUCCGGCCGCAUCGGCUGGGGCGCUGCGCCGUUUCCGCGGGCUGAGCUCCAGCCCUUGUUUUGCAGCGCGCCGCGGGGAGUUUUAUCACCUUCAACAAUGAAAUCUGUCACCUUCAAGCUGCUUUAUUGUAAUCUGGGGACUUUCACCCUGUUGCCGUAACCCUGCUCCGGGCUCCCACCACGCAGCGCUGCAUUCCCCGCCACGCCAGCGCUAGCAGCUAUUGAUUAGGCUCCUUGCUGAUACCGACGGUGUUAACUUCAGGGACCGCAUUUGUACUUGUUUUCUCACCGGGAUCAGAUAGUUAAUUGAUCUUCCUCUUUCUCUUUGCCUUGCUUCUGUCUCGUGUUCCUCCGAUGGCCGCCUCACCUUCCCCUCCCCGCCCCCGCCGGUUCGGAGAAUAAAAGCCGGUCAGACGUGCGGCACAGGCAGCGCUCGGGACUUCUCCUGCUCUGAUAGUUUAAAGAGUGCAAUGUACAAAUACAUGUUUUAAGCUAUGAUACCUUCCUGUUGCAUCAGUUACACACGUUGGAAUCAGAUUAACUGGCAUAUCUGAGCCUUGAGAAAACAAUUUAAUACUAAGCUCAGGGAAGGGUACUUCUUCAGCAGACAGGGCUCGGCUGCUAGAGCUCGGGAAGCGUGUUGCCUGAGGUUUUCUCCUGGUUAGUUUGGGAACACUGGUGUGGCAGGAUCAGAAUACUUUUGCUUGCUGUUUUUCUACGGCUUUUAUUGUAGAUGCAUUUUUCUUGUAGGGGUUAAGUCGUUUUCAUUUGAAAGGCAGUUAUGUACAUUUGCAUACACAUUUGUACGGGCUAAUUAAAAACUUACCGUCAGAGUCGCUUUUCUGCUAACAAACGCUAUACAGCAAAAUGGUUGUUGCUUUUCUGAAAUGUCUGCUUUGUUGCAGAAAUUUGAGCUUUUGUAAAAUCAUUUGGUCAAAUCUUUGGGGUUUAGAUUUUCAAUGAAUAACCAAUAUUUGCAACAAAAGAUUUAAAGAAAAAGGGGUUUUCAUUGAAGUUUUCCACGGGAAAAAAUCUAUAACAUGUAUUAUUAAAUAUAAAGAGGCUUAUGUCCUGAGUUUUAUCUUGCCACAGCUCUUUAUAGCCCCUCUGAAGCUUGAAACGGAUGUUUUUCAUUGGACAAAACGGUCUGUUCCCCCGCCGCAUUCGCUGCAGGCUGCGUGCUGGAAGGUGCCGGUGCCCGGCAGCGUGGGCCUGCAGGGCCGCUCACGUCGCUCUCAGUGCCCUGUUAUUCCCUGAGCCGUGGAAACACUCGUUUCCAAAAUGGAUGUGUAAAGGAUGAAGCAGUAUCAGGGCAACAACCGAGGGGCAGCAUGUUUUCUCCCUGGCGUUUUUGUACACCUGCCUCCCCAAGACUUUUAAGCCCUGAGGUGGCAGCUUUGGGAGAGUCCCCUGGAGAUGGACGUUGUAGCCGGUGAUGGCCACAGCUCUUUCCACUACUCUCUUCCUUGCCAGUGGUCUCAACCCUGGCCUGUGAGACAUUCCCUCUCUCUCAGAACUAAAAUGCCUCUGUGCAGCUGGUUACACACUUGGACGUUUUAGGAGAUGAUACUGGACUCUAGGGCUUGGAACAGGAUGAUUUCCAGCACCACCAGCAAGGAGCUAGGAGAAAAAGCUCCUUAUUCCGUUUCCCGUGAAUUGCCGGGUUUGCCGGCAGUGGAACUCGCAGGCCGGUGCUCCAAAGCGUUGCUUAGGCAGCCAGGCAGAACGGGAGUACAGAAAUGCUUCAGUCCUAUUUUCAUUCCCCAGAGCCAAGCUCCAGUAUCCAAAAUGGGAUUACCAGAAUAGAAAGGCGGUUGCGUUUUGCCUCUGCUGACCUUCAGCAGCUGCAGCUGCAGCCCUGGCUCCCCAGAGGGAUGCACCUCUGUACCGGUGUGUCAGUCCCCGCUCCUCCUGCCUUGAGCCUGUCCCAAGCAGAGGCUGCCCACCAAGCUACCGAGCUGUGGGGAUUUUGUGACAAGCCAAUGGAAACCUUUUCGCCAGCACGUACAAAUACGCUUUGCAAGGCAAAAAUAAGCAGUAAUGCAGACAUCACGCUCUGUUUUGUUUUAUAUUCCUUUGCUUCAGGAAAACAGGAAGGGGCAAAAAAGGACUGACACUUCAUCCCACCAAGGGCUUUCUCUAAGAUGCCUGCUGGGAACGCUCUCUGUGUGCUUCUCCCUAGGUGGUAGCUCUCUUGAUUUUUCUCGCUGCCUUGCAGGUCCUACUGAGGAGCUUGGAGGAGGAUUUGCUGAUUGCUUAUGAAAUCCAUUCUCCCUUGAGGAUCCGUUCUUUCCAUCUUGAUAAACUUUUAAUUCCUGCUUUCUGAUAACACUGAGUAACUGUGUUUUCGGGACCUGCCUUUGUGAGGGAUUUGUGAUUGAUGUUCGUGUGCGCUAGCAGGAGGCCGGUAACCUCAUUUCAUUUUUGACAGAACAUCAGAACAAGGGCUCUGCAUCCUUCUCCUUUCUUGGUCACGUAUAAAUGAAAGAGAAAGUAGAGCAGAUAUAAUCUGUCCAAAUCUGUCAUUUUGACUCACUUGUAUUCCCUUGCCAUAUUGCUAAACUUCCCACACUGUUUCUGUCCAACGUGGCAUAUGGGCACAUGUUUAAAGGACACGCUCAGCUUCUUUCCCAUGUAGCUCUGUUACCUUGUUUCUGUUCUUGGUUCUGUACAGGAAAGUCUGGGAUAUUUGGAACUAGCUGCUGCAGCUUUGCAUGGGAGUGGAUUGUUUGAAUAUGACCUCACGGAGCCCAUGUAAAUUUAUAGCAGAUAAGACUUGGACCCAGACUGUCUUUUUUAACCAGUUAUUGUCUCCUUCCUAUUCCAUUCCCUCUGCCCUCUCUUUCUGACAUAUUUCCAGCAACUUUGAGAUGAACAUGGCUCCCAUUUUGCGCUCAGACCAACCUCAUCUGUGAUGCCAGAACCGUAUCUACCUGGCCAAGAGAGAGCUUGCACUUCUGCAUCUGUAUAGAGGCACACAUACACGUAGGGACCACUGAGGAAGGACUUGUCACUAUGAGAAAUGAUGAAGAAAAAUGUCUGUAAUGAUGAAUUCACAAGAAAUACAUAAAAUACUAUAUAGAUAUCCAGGCAACAUCAUUCACCAAACUAUGAUACUGUUCCCAUAGAGAAAUGUCACUUCCCUUUUAAGAUCAGUUUUAUUUCCGUAGGAGAAAGGAUGUUCAGAGCACCUUCACUGGCGGAGAGAAAGCGGACGCGCCGUUGUACGUGCCCCGCUGCCUGUGCUGCUCAGCAGCUUCUAAACGCAGGUCUGAACACAGCUCGAUGGUAGCUCUCGGCACAGCCUGCCAAGGCUCCAGCUCCAAACGGCUUCUCGGCAUCCUCCACCUUCUUUUUCAGGAGUAACAAAGACAUCUGAUUUCCUCCCACCCCUCGCCUGCCGCCCCUGCUCUCCCCUCCCCCUCGCUGGCACCCGCGUUAGCUAUACAGAAUACGGAAACAAUUUGCCCGCGAAGCGAACAACGUAACCCGGAGUGAAGCAAGGGAGACGAGCUUAUUGUGCAGGCUUGCAGGCGUUUUGGGGGCGAGAGGGAGUGGACUGUUUUCCUUUCUUUCUGCUCUUCCCUUUCAACAUCUCGCUGAACCGCUUUCCAUCUCUGGUCCAAACCAGAGCAACCAGAUCUGACUGCGCGUUUUGGAGGAGGUUCAGGUUGGAUCCCUCCCUGCGUCAGAGCUUGGUGAGGCAGUAUCUCUGUGCUUAAUCCUCUUGGAGGUUUUGCUCUCGGAUCACUUCUGCUCCUGGAUUAGCAUUAAUGAAGAGCAUGUGUGCUGCAAGGACCUGAUCCAGGCCCUCAGAGCUGCAGCGCUGCUAAAGGCAGUGUUUCCAGAGGAACUGUUAGGCUGAAAGAGAAGAUUGCCUGGGAGCGGAUGAGACAGGAACUUUGUGCAAAGUAUGAUUUCACUCUUUCUCCCUUCACACACCAAGGAUUAGGCUUUCAGAACAGCCCAGAGCCUUGCUAGCACUUGUGAGAGCGUCUCUGAAAAGCAAGCUGUUUGCUCCAGUGCCCGCCUAAGACGUGGAAGUUUGGAGUGAAGCACUUGCAGUUCUCGGAGAGGCAGGUGCCCUUAUCCGCUGGAAUAAGGCAUCAGGAGCUGAGCCAACGUUUGGUUCAGUACCUUUGAGCAGGUCAGAGGUCUUCAGAUCUUCCUGCGCACUGGGCCCAGUUGCCACGAAGUCCUCAAAUAGUAGUCCAAGCCCAGUCCUCUUUUGAAGAGGGGGAUAUUGGUGUUGCAGAGGGAAGGGAGUGUUCUCCGCAGGUUGCAGGUCGGAGCAGAGUGGCUGCCCUGGCAAACUCCCCUUCCGGGGAACUCCUUUCUUAAUAGCCUCCAGACUCGGGACGUGAUCUGUGCAAGCCGUGCUGAGCUGGUAGGACAGAGCCACGAAGCUGCCAACCGGGACAGCAUGUUGCUCUUUAAACCGGGCAGAUCUCCGAUCCUGAACUGGUGCAGGAGAUAAACAGUGAUCCAAUAGCACAGGAGGGAGCCGCGUGGCAGAGGGACAGUCGGAACUCGUGCUGGGCUCUUCCUCGCUCACAUCUCACAUCGUCCCCACCUUCUACUUACUGCUCCUUCGCAGUCUUCGCUCCUGCACAGAGUGGGAACUUUCAGUGUGCGUAUGUUCUGUAACGUGCCACGUCUGCCCUGCCUCACCGAAUGGCAGAUGUCUCCGUGGGCAGCCUGACCCUUUUGAAGCUAACGGCACAGCGUAGAGACCAUUACGAAUGCUGUUGCUGCUCCCUUCCUUUAGCCAAUUUUUGGCCCAGAUUAGCAACUUGUGGUGUGGAAUCCAGCACAGGGUGGGAGCAGAGAUGCUUUGGUCCCUUCUGUUUUCUGAUGUGAUGUGGUCAGGGGCAGUUCAGUUCCUCUCUUUGGGCUGGUCUGACUUUUACUAACUCUCAGAGGGGCCAGAAGCAGAAGUGGUUUCUGGUUUCUGCUCCAAGCCGUGCACCAGCGCUGGAAGCUGUGUGGACAGGAAGCCCACAGCCGGGAGCGAAGAGCGACUGCCCCAGCCAUCCAUCCUCCGCCGGUCCCUGUCGGGUACCAGCUGAGCCGUGCACGGAGGCUGCGGCAGAAGGGAAGCGUGGGUCUCCUGCGCGUUCACUCUAUCAACAUAAGUGUCUGUGAGCACAGCGUGCUCCUCAGCCUGCCCGUCUCCUGUCCGUGCUGCCUCACACAGAGCCUGUGGAUGUCUGCAACAGCCUGCCCGGGCAUGUCGCGCGGUGUGCUGAGCUGACUGGCAGUGCCCGAGGCUGCUGAGGGUGUUCAGGUGCGAGAGACUCUGGAGGGCCGCCUCUGGUCCCCCCUGCAGCCGCGCGUGCAGGCUCAGGCUGCGAGGACAGCAGUCCUGGUCUUGGGGACAGUGUCUGGGCACCCCCCUGGAGGCAGUAUGGACAGACAGGUUUCCAGUCUCUUUUUGACUCCGAGGCCCCCCUUCACCCCGGGAAACAUGAGGCCCUGAGUUAGACAGCAUGGAGAGUUAUGAACUAGACAGGGCAGAGUAGACUCUUGUAGCUCUGCUUCUAGAGACUUUAAAAUGCAGAGACCAGAGGGAGUAGUGUAAUUUCAGGGAAGCAGUCUUUGGAGCUCUUGUGUUUCUUCCCUUCUGGUUUGAUUUUAAAUAUUCGAAUGCUCAUAAAAACAUGAGGAAAACACUGCUUGGGAUGAUUGUGCUGCUGAAACUAUCACUGGCUUUUUGGAAUUUCCUCUGUCAUCUUGUCCUUUUUUUUUAACUAUUUUUAGGACUAUUUAGACAAGAACAGAUUUGUAUUCUUCUCUUCGUGCUGCUCAGUUACCACCUGAAAUCCUCAUCUACUCUUUGCAGUUCCCAGCACAACUGCGAGCAAUAUCCUGAGCAGAGCGGUUUAGCUUCAGGUGAAGGAGAGCAGCAGAAGCAGAUGGGCUUGUAAACAGCCAAGAUCUGGUGCUCGCGCAGAGGUCCUCGCAGAGCAGAAAUGAGCAGAAUGCUUCGCAAACUCGAAGCAACUCUUAUUUUAUUUCUGGGAAAUGUCAGUAGCUGAAAUGUGAUAAUCUGGGGAGGGGAGGACAGCGUAGGAACAGCAAAACGUAUUUUGGCACAGUCAGUUAUUGCAGAAGCUGUUCGUGUUAGAACUUGUAGCAAAGUGGAGAGUAUGGAAACAGGGGGAUGUUCUCCAGAAUCAAGGAAUUUGUAGGUGAUGGAAGCAAGAUUUCCACCAGCCCUUCCACUCUGGCAUUUUUAUCUUGGUUUCCUAAGGAAACAGCCUACUGGUUUUCUGUCAUCCUCCCCCGCAAAUUACUUCCAAAACUGUCAGUCAAUCUCCACCAAAAUUGUGAGUAACUUCAUUGAUACGAAGUUCCUACCAGUUCCCUGAGGAUGUACAGCUGGACGGAGGAGAAGGAAAGCCAGCGCAGUGCCCCCGCGCUGGACGCAGCCGUUGUGGCCACCUCACAGCCCUCUGGAGCAGCAGCAGCAGCCGCCAGCGGGCCGAGCAGCGCAGCCGUUGCUGCCACCCAGCCCCUGCGGCCGCCUGUGCAGCCACGCGCACGGGGCCGUGCAAGUGAGCUGGAGCGCUGCGGGGAAGGGCAGGGGCAGGAGAGGGACCGUGAUAAGUGAGACCUAAUUCCCUAACGGCCAGGAUUUGGUAGCGCUGCCUGCGGCUCGUUGCCGUAAGCGUCUCCCUGCAGCAGCUCCUUUGGUGGAGUGACAGCGAAGGAAGAGGUGCAGCGGCCCCGUGCACAGGGUGGGCAGCCGGUCGGUCUGUCGUGCCGGCGCUGCUCCCGCAGGUGCGCCCAGGGCACGGUUGCAAGGGAAAGGGGGAGAAAAGCCUAGUGCUGACAUAGCCUGUCAGGGCCUUCAGACCAGGCGUUGACAAACCUCCGAGUGCUGCCCCCGAGAAGCAGCAGAUGAGCUGUUUCCUGAAGGGAUGCAGACGCCUGGCUGUAUAAACUCUGGCUUCCCUUUGGUUUCCCGUGUAAUAGAGCCCAAGAGCGGAGCGAGCCGGCAGGCCUCUUCCCCAGCGAGACGCCUGGGGACUCCUCCUCUGCUUACUUUGCCUCCUGCUUGGGCAGGUCCCCUUUCCCUGCCGUUUCUCGCCGCUCGGUGCUUACCGUCAAGCCUGUGGGGUUUAGCUGCUUAGCUUUAGAGGCAGGAAAUGAAUGAAGAGGGGCAGGAAAAGAGAAAACACAGUCAGGAGGCUCACUUCCAUAAUUUAUCGGGCCCAGAGUGGUUUCUCUAAGCCACAUGGUGUCAGGUGUAAAAGAAAUGAAAGAUGAUAACCCAAAGUGGAAGAAUGGAGCAGCCCAAACCUCCCACAGCACGGCGGCUCUCCAGAGAGCGGCUUCAGCAGCGAUUUAAUGGGUACCUGAUGGCAAAGAGCAGCCCCUCCGCCUUGUUCCUGAGCAGGGCAGGUCCUGAUCCGCGUGCUCUGUUUUCAUUUCCCCAGGCAGGGAGAGGAGCGCUGGAGCUGUGCUGCGGGUCCCGUGGCGUGCAGCAGUCGCGGAGGAGGGAGACCGAGGGGAGACGGCGCCAGGUUAGAGCUGCAGAGGGGUUGGUGCUGGAGCGAGGGUUGAGGCGUUGAUAUUUCUAUUUUAUCUCUAUUUUUUCUUGGGUGGGGAGAGGAGGGAGAAGUGAAUUGCUGAGUCUUAAUGGAAAAUGAUGAGCACCUGGACCAGAUUCCCAAAGGGACCUUUGGAGAUAACGAAAUGCCCAAAGGAGCUGGAAUACACCAGCCACCAGAGUUCAUCCGGUCCAGGAUAAAACCUCUGAAAUAGGCAGUGCUUUAAAAAUGCACUUACGGUUGAGGGCUCAAAAUACAAGAAAAAAAUACCCGAGGAAGGUGAGAUAACACUUCCUCCAUUUCCUAGAAAGGAGGGGAAAAAUGCCAAAAAGUUACUCAUUUUUUCUGAGAAAGUCUCCGCCAGACAAGAAGCACUGCAGGUCCAGACAGCCCCCUUGACCUGCGGCUUGCAGCAUGGGCUUACUUCCUCCUGGCAACAGGCGUCCAGCAUUUCCAGGGAGACCUGUAAUUCCAAGCAACGUCCUCAGAGGUUAAUUGAGCCCUAAAGCUACGAGCUCUUCGGGACUCAGCCCGCCCCUCGCUGCGUGUGUGUACGACGCCAGAGCACAGCGGAGCCUUGUCUUGGUUGGGGCCUUCGGUGUUGCGGUAGUGCAAACAAGAAGAAAAGUUAUGCUGCUGAGGUGACCUGGCCCGUUCCCAGCUCCGCCGGCAACCGGGGUGAAAUCGCUAAACUCUUUCUCGCAAACUCAAGCAGCGCCUGAGAGGAGCCUCCAUCGUGCGCAGCGCCGGACCCGCCUGGAGCCCAGCCACCUCCCUGCAGGUGCAAAGCUCCUUGCGUCAGCCCCGAAGCUUGGAGCCAUCUCAGCCUGCUCGCCGCCGCCGCCACGCAAGCUGGAGCCUCGUCCCGUUUGCCAGCAGAGAAAGGAGCCGAGCAGCCUCCGCUUCCCUGCCUUGCCUGACGAGAUCAGUGUUAUCCAAGACCAGUAAUUUUCUCCUCCUGCGAAAGGCAGCAUUGCUUUGCUCACAGAGGCUGCUGUAAUUGGGGAACAGAAGAGUCACCCUGACACCCCUCUUCAUCACAGAAAUGCAGCGUGGGUGACCUGAACUAUGCGUUUCUGGCCCAUCUGCAUUUUGUUCUUGCCUUCUUUGAGGGAGAGAGACAGGUAUUUUACAUUUCACACCGCUUCCACAGCAUGCAGUGAUUUAUAACAGGAGCUACCUUAUUAAUGUCAAGGGCAGAAUUGCUACCGACAUUCAAGCUGCAAGAGCGUAUGAAAAUCAUUUAGUUAGCUAUGGCACGAUCCCAGCGCUGAGGGCUGUUAGCUGAUGUGCAUUCCCCUCUGCGUUCGCAGCCUCGUCCAGUUCUGCGCGGUGGUUUGUGGGCCGCUGGGUGAAAUGCAAACAGGCCCGUUCGGAGCUGGAGCUUUUCAGCCUCAGAACAACCUUAAGCUGGUCGCCAGAGCUCAGGUUUCCUUGAUUUUUGACAGGAGUACUGUGCAGAUGAAACCUCUCUCUGCUCCUUCUGGAGGAUUUACACUGCCACAAGUCUUCAUUUUUUCCAGAUGUUUUACCUAAUAAAUCACGGAGCCUCAUCAGAGGAUUCGAAUCCAAAAGCUGUUACCAUGACUUCAAAGGCACAGCCUGGAAUGGAAAGAAGCGGUGCAGACAUUUUAUGCCAAUCUGUAGUCCCUGAUCAUGAAAAUACGCUUCGGUUCCAGGAUCUGUUCUAUGGAUACCAAAACUCUGCUGUGAUUAAAUAAAACAGUGCUGUGCUCCUUCAGCCAGCCCUUGCUUUCAAAAAUUCAGAUUAAGCACUGCCAGGUGGUACGGUUGGCAAAAAUGGUCCUCGGUAACAUAGGAUGGGUGUAGUCCUGAGGGGUGCUGAGCUCUGCCAACCCCCAUCCAAAAUCAGGGACAAAUAACUCAGGUUUGAACUCUGUCCUGCCAGAUCAAUACUUGCUGCAUAUUUUCUCUCAAUGCCAAUUUAAGCUAUUCUCACUUGAAGGAUUCAGACCUCAGUUCGUAGUCUUAAAAUGUCUGGGAGAGAAAAGGAUAAAAAGAGUUACAUUGCUGCAAAAUAUGAUUGCAGUUAUUCAUAUUGGUUUGUUCCUUGAUUAAGAACGUAACAUUUUUUUUAGUUAACCCUUUCCAUUUUACAGUGUCUGUAUGGUGUCAUUUUCCCUCACUGUUACACUUCUAAAGAGAAAGGGAGUGCGGGGUGCUAAAGCGCUCUAAGAAACAGCUAUGUAUGUGUUCCUAAUUACUCGAUAGCACACCGUACUGCAGGAGAGUUUAAUGGAGAAAAGCAGCUGAAGAAGGAAAGGAUGUUGCAGUGGGCCGGUGAGCUGAAGACCUCGGGGCCAGGGGUUUGAUUCCCUGCUUUCUCGCAGUGCUGCUGGCAGCAGAGCUCAGUCCCUGCCCGGCAGAGAUGCCCAAGCUGGCCUGUGCCAAGAUAAGCUGCUCCUGUUUCCCCCCCCUUGUCCCCCCCAACCUGUACAGAUGAUUGCGGAGCCACAUGCUGAAGCGGAAGCGUUUCCCAGCUGGAUGCAUCUCGCAGAUCCCCAGGCAGUUGUGCGAGGAGGACUGAGCGGACGGUGCCGGCUGGGGGAAGGCUGCCCGCGGCGGGAGGAGAAGCUGGUGUGGCUGGAGGAGCCUCUGCAGCCGGCGCUGCCGUGCAGAGAGGUGCCCAGGGACCGCAGCGCCGGUACUGCCGCUCCUACAGCGCUCCCGCUCCCCUUCGAGAGGGCGUUUGGACUGCUUAUUUCCAGGGCUGCCCCGCGCUGCCUUCCCGCACAGCAGCGAAGAGGGGCAGCUGUGGCAGCCCACGGAGGGUGCUUACGGCAGGGGAUGUGAGCAGAGCCCUUCGGGUUGUGGUCUCGGGGGUUUCGGGCACGCGGAGAAGCCGUCGCAGGGUGGCUGUCGGGGGAGGCUGAGCUGGCUCUGCCUCGCGCUGGCUGCAGGUUAGCGGCACGCGGAGGGCUGCUCACCGCAGAGCAGAUGGGUGGUAAACGGCUUGCGGAUCCCGGCGCUGCGCGAAGGGGGGGCUCUCGCACUUGGAGUGCUGGGAAGAUACUGCAGCUGCAUAAAACCAAUUUGGGACAUGAAUUUACUCCAGUUAGACCAUAUUCUGGGUGCUCUGGCAGCAGUAGGCAAGAGGGGUGUGUGGUCCUGCCAUACGCUUAACCAGGCCUUAAAAAAUUCCCCAUGGUUUCGGACAGCGUUUCAUAGAGGAUGUUCCCGGGAAGGGCAAGUCCUGCUGCGUUCUGGGGCCGGGCUGUCAGGGUGCAGGAAGAGCCAGGUGCAUAUCUCUUCUGUUGUAAUGAUAUGUUCAGACUAAAAAAUGAUCUGAUAUAAAUAUUAGCAAUAAAAAAGCAGUUACCGUGAUACAAUUUGUUCCUGCCCCAGACUUCGGAACAAUUGCUGCUUAUCUUCCCUCCGCCAAGAAGCUGAAGCCCAGCACGACAAACUGUUGUGACUGCCUUGGAUUGGUGACAUCUCGAGUGACACGUGCUGGAUCACCAGAACAGAGUGGCAGCAGCACAGCUUGGCUUCGGGAGCCUAAAAAUAGGUACUACCAUUUCGGAGCUGAAGCCUCCCUCCUUUUUCCCCACCCAGCCCUGCUGUUUGGCACAUGCAGCACAUAAUCGUAGUGUUCACAUCGUACCAAAGAAAAACCACAUCUCUAAAGCAAGCAGUGUGUUAAGUAGUGGACAUGCAUUGGAUGUAGGAUAUGUUAUGACAUGGCUCCUAAAUUAGUGAGUAUCAGUGACAAUGGUUUGCAGAUUUUCUAUGGGCAGUUGGUAUAGAAAGGAGUAUGAAUCAUCUGCUGCACUGCCAUAUAGAAAAGCAUCAAAGAUGUUCAGAGAUGCACCAUAAAAUAAGGACCUUGAAUUCCCUCCACUGGACAGCUGCUCAAAUACUUGCGAGUUGAAUGAGUGAUGGAUGUAGCACAUUUGAUUUCCUUCUGGAUCUUUUCUCUUUUAUUCUGCAGCUCAGUGAAUCUCAGUGAUGCUUUUACCUUUUAUCUUUUUUAACUCUACUCACUGGAGAAAGUAUUUGUCAGCUUCUGCCAAACCCCAAUAAGCUACAUUUCAUUAAAAAAAAGGAUUACUCGGAAGGGGUGAAAUUUGAUUCACAAAGAUAAAACUCUUUGAAGAUGUCUGUUCCUUUGGUAGUGACUGAUUUAAAUGGGUGCCAUUUUAGUAUGCCUGUUACACCGUUCUCAAGGCCACACAAAGGAGGAGGAAUUGUAUGAGGCCAUAUAAAUCAGGGUUUGUUAUAGGGAUGUCAAACACAGCUGCACCAUGGGGUGUUAAUAGGAAGGAGGCAAGAAGCCAAAAGCAAGUCAGAACCAACUAACAAAAGCUACAAAGCUAGUCUGUCGGAUUCUUGAUGCUUCCGGAAGUGCACUGCCUGCACUCUCAGGUUCUCCUUCUGGGAGAAGCUUGGGGUGUUCGACUGAUCCACAUCACAUUUUUUAAGUGCUCCAGUAAUUGGAUAAGUAGUCUUUGUGGAACAUCUUUAGUUCUCAAUUUCUCCCAUCAGGAAAAAUCUAAAAAUGAAGCUCCAUGAGGACAUCACCAGUCCAAGUCUCCUAUUUACUAACGCCAAGGUCAUUCCACUGAAUUCGUGGUCGUCCAAAAUAGCCGUGAGGACAGACAGGCCACUGGACACACUAGUAAGGGAGCUGUUGGAUUAAGCUUCCACCAAACUGUUGAUCACUGUGUGGAAGGAGAAAACUCCCAAUCUUUGUGCAUGCAAAUUAGUUUCCUCCUUUUCCAGCAGCACUUCGUGGGUGGAGUGGAGGGCAGCCAAGAAAAUUUAACCAGAGUGAGGAACAGAAAAAAAACCUUUUAGUGCACACUUGAAAUGAAAGCUCUCAAGCAGCAUUUUUGGUAUGCUCGACAACAGAAAUACUGCACACAUCAGAACCUCUCCCUAGGACUGUUCACCCUCAAGACAGCUGUCGCAGUGGGCAAUGUUGUAUCUCUUACUCAAGUUCUUGCAGAACAGGAUUUCUGUCCCCUCUGACAUAUUCUCCAAAGGAGUGGUCCUGGCAACAUCUCCUAAGACUUCAUGUGCCGAUCAUUAAUGUGUAGGUUCACUACGAGUUAAACCCUGAGGCUCUGACUCCACUGAGCUCCUAUUGAAGCCUAUGGGAAGCUCUGGAAUAAUAAGUGAAUGGGGAUCUUAGUAUGCAGCCUGAGGAGAAGGUGCUAAUGAAUACACUUUCCCCUCUUCCCCAUUCACAUAGUACAGUGCCUUGAGCACUUCAGAGGUUCCCCUUCACUCUCUCCUUCACCUGCUCUUGCCUGUAGGACUCAAGGCUGCACAUGGACUGUGUGUCUGGAAGGCAAGGUAGGAGCUGUGUGGGCACCAUGAUAAGCAAAAUAGAAGGGGACACUGCUUUCUCUCCUAGAAUGACUGCGUGCCCUCUGUGACUUUCCAAAUACCUGAUACUCCAAAACAGAAACUGAGUUCAAGCUUCCUGAAAAAUUGUGUGCUUUCUACCAGAAAGAAGCUUUUAGUGCUUCAAAAUUGUGCAUGAGGCUUCUUUCUUACAGAAGGAAUUCAAGACAGUGGGAAAGUGGAAAGUUUGAGGGAUUUAACAUAGCUUGUGGGCCAGGAUCUUGAACGAUUGCUUGAGUCCAUUGGACAAACUGCACACACGUGUGUGCCCAUGUGCCUUGUGGUUUCCGUAUUAGUUUUUGUUAUUUCUCAAUAUUCCCUUUAAUAUUUAAUGUAUUUAUCUUGAUUGCUGGUAAUUGCAGCAUUGAGAGUGCUGACUCUGAUGUCCCUCCGAGACAUGAAAUUGGCUUGGGACAAUCCAACAUUUUUGUGUGGGCCUGCAAAAAAUUUUCAGCCCACUCCCCUCCAACCCCAAGAACAUUCCUGGCUGCUCUGAUAACAUCCCGAGGCACAGCGCUGGCGUAAAGACUUUCAGGGUGCAAGAGUGACAUGACACUUCCAAACACAGUUUUCCAGGAGUUGUGGGUCACUGGAAGCUAUUUGAGUUCAGCCUUUCCCAAGGAAGGAAGCCUUUAGCCAGCUCAAUCCCGUACCUACAAUGUCUACCCAUUUUGUGUGUGGGGGGUGCAAAUUUGGCCAGACUAACAAGCAGAGAAUGAGAGUCCGGAGCGGAAUAGAAGAGCAGAGCUGUGGUGCCCUGACAGAGCUUUUCAGAAGCUGAUAACUAAAACAGCGAAGGAGAAGCCCUGUUAGUGAGAGCUGGACGAACUCCAGGGAGGGAACAACAGAGGGUGCUGCAGGUCACGGCUGAGCCGGCGUGACAGCCGUGCUGGGGGUGGCACAGGAACAGCAGCUUCCAGUUCAGGGGCAGGGAUGCAGCUUUGAUCCUUGGUGGUGCCCGGUUGUGCUGGGAUGGUGACUGAAGGGAUUGUGGGGGACUGUGGGUCAGGAAUGGCGGGGGUGUGGGUAGUGCUAGACGCUAGCCAGUGAUACUCGUGUCUGCCUUUAAAAUCAAGUCAAGCGGAGUCUUGAUUUCUCCUCCUAAGUAAAAUGGCGGUGUUUAGGACAGCAUGGCUCCCAAACAAGCUUGUCUCUGGGAACUGGGACUGCUCUAGGGCAGAGGAAGGGAUGCGCUCGGAGGGAAACUGCGUGCACAGGUACCCUCCAGCCUGAGGCACAAAGCUGCAUUUUGCCUUUGUGAACGUUUGCCAAUUAUAGCAUAUCAUGUGCAUCAAUAGUGCCUCUAACUUGCCUUAAUACCUUUUUAUGAGAAUAAAAUUUGUUCUUAUAUGGUGCUUUUCAUGCUUGAGGCAGUUCAAAGCGCUUCGCUAAGCACAGUAAUGAGUUAGAUCUUGGGAGCGCAGUGAUUGUGUAGGCAAAUACAGGGACUAUUAUGUGCUCUGCAAUAAUUCACAGAGCCGCCUAUGCUAGAAGCUAUUUUAUUUAUUGAAGGGAGGAAUGUUGGCUGGAUCUCAUGGUUGUCCUCUGGAAGGUUUUAAUGAUCUUUAGCUUCCAUAUGGAAAGCCACCUCGGAGCAGUUGCAGCCCAGAGACCUCGCUUGAGGCAGGACACAUCCAACUACGCAGCGCCGAGGCUGCAGAGCUCCACUGCAGUGUCAGCUGGGGCGAGGGGCCCGAGAUUAGUUGCCACCUUUGAGCAUGAGAUUUGCCUUUCUCAAGCAUAUUACAUCUCUCGGAGUCCUAUCAGUGCAUUCUGGCCAACUCUGUUAUUUGAUGUCCUCUUUUUCCUUAAUUUUAUUUAUAAAAUAAAACCUUUUUGUAGGACCUUCUAUCCCUAGGUCUUGGAGAGGGAUUGCUGAGCUUAACAGUGGCACUGUGAAGCACUGUGAAAGCACUGUUAUUCUGAACAGGAAUAAAGCGGGCUUUAAAGGCUAGAUCCAAACAGACAUCUGAAGUGCAAUUUGCACAGGAUUUAGGCACCUCAGUCCAAAGUCACAAUCCUGAAAAACCUGCUCUCAGCUUUGCCUACCUAGGCUUUGCCCACGCUUUGUUUUCAGCAUAUAACUUCUCCCUGUGCGGUCUCAGAGGCGUUUGGAGGUAUGGGUGUAAUGGCCAAAGCAGUUACUGCCUCAGCUCUCCACUGGUGGCCUCUUGCCAGCCAGACCUUCGCUGCUGACCUGCUGGCCAAGCUUCAUCUGGGAUUGCUCCCGCGAAGAGGUCUGCGGCAGCGUGCGUGGGAGGAGACCUGUGUCCCAGAGACGCUGUGCAUGUCUGCAAAAGACCGGGUGCUGUCCAGCCUCAAAGUAGCUUCAUGUCUUUUUGCCUCUUCUAGAAAAGGUAAACGAACCCCAGUAGAUUGCCAUAACCUUUUGGUGGUUACACACAGGUGGUUGUGGAGCCCUUCCUACUACUACCUGGCCUUGGUGCUGGAAAAUAUACAUAUCUGCUUCGGCGCUGCGAUGGCCUUUCUCCAGUGGGAUCCAGCUUUUUCCUACUGCUGUGUGAUUACAGAAGCCUAAUUAAGCAAGCGAGUGGCGGAUGAACAGGAAGAUGCCCCCCUCCAGGUGUUGUCUCAGCAUGCACCUCCUCAGAGACUCCUUACUUACGCAGGGAGUCGGCCUAUGCAGCUUCGCUCUCUGGGGCCAUUUAGCAUAUUUGCCUGCCAAAGUGUUUGCCUACAUGGCAAAUGCUCUACCCUUCGGUGUCCCCUUUGCAGCGGUACAUAGCAGAACAGUUACAUAAAGAAGUUUCUUUGGUAUUUGUGAGUAGAUAUAUUCUGCUGGUGUUUUGCUCCAAAUAUAGCCUUGAAACUCCUCCUUAAACUCAUAGGAGAGGCCUGUGCUGUGCCUCCUGGGAACAAAGGGAAUUUGCAUCACCCUUCAGCAUUUCCCGCCUGCCCGGUGAUUUGUGUCUUAACUGUGAAUAACAGUCCUUGCCUCUCCGGAGUUCAGGGCAUCAGAGGGUUUCAAACUGCUCUGCAAACAGGGCAGCCCCACUGACGUGAAUAGGGCUGGUCAACUGGGAAUGUAAACAGAGUCUGACUUAUUACCAAAUUAACUUCCUAGCAGUCCUAGGGGCAAGGAGAGAAAGGUGUCACUUCAGGCUCUGCUGGCAUGGGACAGGAUAGAGUAGCUGGAAUUGUCCAGAGCAAAACUACCCACAGUUUAAGACUAUAAGUAAAAAAUAAUGCAAUCUCUAAUUGAAACCAGAUGAGACAUUCAAGUAGACAGCCUGCAAAUACCCACAAAAAGCAGAAAGCAAAUGCUUUUUGUACAAGCAUUAAUCUUCAUGCGUCACUAGGGCACAAGUCCUAGUGCGAGUGCAAGGAGAGAAUUCAGCUCAUUCGGCGCUGGUCUGUAAAGAUCUGUGUCCAGUUUUGCACUUAAUUCUGUUUAACUGGGGCCGUCAAUUAGCUCCUUCAGUUUUUCUGCCUGUCUGUGCUGGGUCCAGUGAAUGCUCCUGCACAUAAAGAUCUGUCACUGAUUGCUUGGGCAGCUAAAUUGGGCAGCCAGCUCGCUACUCAAAGGUAUCUUAACUUUGCAUCCCUUUCUGUUGGGGCAGGAAUACUGGGGAUGACUUCAACCUCGUUGUAAUCUCCUUGUACACAUUGCUAUUCUAAUUUUAUGCCUAGGUAUGGCAUUUCCAUUACAAAGGAGUUUUGUUGGUUGAGCUCUGCUGGUCCAAGUCUUUCAAAAGCCUCCGGUCAUGUGCUUCUACUCUUUUCCUCCAGAACAAAACAUCAUCUACGCAGAUCCUAGGCUAUCAAAGCCCAUGAAACAGUUGAAGUGCCAAACACAACCCAAAUGGCAGUCUGAGGAAAUUAUGUCUCCCAUAGGGGCUGUUGAAUAUGCACAAACGUAUGCUCUGUUUUCCUAACGUGCCUGUUAGAACCCUGCUGAUGCCUCCAGCAGAGGAAAAUAUUUGGCAUAGUCCAUUUCCCCCCAAACUUUUACUCCUUGCAGGAAAUAUAAAACGUUCUUUUCCUACGUAUUUAUUUUUGUCUGACUGUAAUCAAAGGAUUUCAUUUUUCCUCCCUUUCUCUGGUGACCCAUGAGCAUCCACUUGCUGUCAAGUCUGCGUUUCCUCCAUCUUCCAGAGAGCUGUGAGCCUGUCCAGCACCGCCUCUAGCCUCUGCUAAAGUCCGUGCUGUGGUUUGCUCAUCUGCUGCAGUGUCGCCCCACUUGGCCCGGGCCCGUGAAACAUUCUGAACGGGGAUUUGUCCACGCUGACCGCUGUGUCAGCACACGCUUGCGGUCCUCUGUCUUCUCCCGAAGUAUUUUGGAUCACUGGAUCUGCCUUCUCUCAGUCAGCUUUAGUCUGGAUGCGGUGACUUUCCAGUGCUGUUUAACAGAUUCACGGACCUCAGCCCACAGCUUGAAAGGCGGUCUGCAAGUCAGCUGCUGUGCUGCAGUAGAUCCAGUACUGGACUUGUUCAUGCCCACAUUCACUAAGUAGUACUUCCUAGAAUGACCCGGCAGCUUGAGAAGUAGCGGCUCGCUGCGGAUAUUGCAACGGCAACCCCAGCAGGGCCAGAUGACUGUUACCUGAUAUCUGGUGAGUGGGCUAGAGGUCAGAAGGAAAAAGCUGGACUACCAUUUGUGAGCAUGGUUUAGACAAAGCUAACAGAUCAUGAAGCGAGCGUCAGCCUGAAAGAGGGUUUUAGAGGCAGAUUGCAGCCAUUUGGGGCUAGAAAAACAUUAGAUUCGUGAGAAAGCUUUUCUUCCUCUGUCAAAUAUAUCUUAUUUGGUACCUGCCUCAGAGGGCUCUCAUCUGAAAAAUGCCAUUUCUUCUCUUUGUAGAAUGUAAAUGUUCAUUCCAGAUGAUAUAGAUUUCUCUUCCUCAAUUUCUUUUCAGCACUCACUGUAUGUUUUUGAAUGUGGAAUCAGAGCCUUUUUGAGAAAUGAAUUCCUUGUUGAAUACAUGCACUUUUAUACUUUCAGAAAUGAAAGGUACUUCUGAUAGCCUGAACCUCUUUCUCUCCGAAUUCCCCAUUUUUAGCAAUGGAAGUUGGUUCCAAAUACCUAAAUUCUCUCCAUUUUUUGGUAGUGAACUGUUUUAGCUGAAUGCCUGUGGAGUGUGAAGGCAUCUUCCUUUUAUGCAAAACGUACACUACUUGUACAGUCUAUGAGUAUCUUCCCUCCAGGCUUCCCUGCCGGCAUGUUGCUCAUGCUUUGCUGAAGGAGGAUGUGCCAUUUCAAUCCUUGGUCCUUCUAAGAGCAUUCCCAAAAAACGUGUAUUAGUGGAGGAGGACGUAGGUGGAGCAACACAGCUGUGCACCAUUUUCUUACAAUGUGGUAGCUGUUAACUAGGAUGUGGAUUAGAUGGACCUUCAUCAUGCAGACCGUCACAUCUUUUCAGGCAAGGCACAUGACUGCCAACAGGCAGUGAUUUUCAAAAACCAAUGAUCUCGGGUGGUAUAAACUAGUGACCUUCUUUAGUUGUGUGCAGUUCCUUUUGCUCCGUUCCGUAUUUCUGAAUCUCUUUGUGUGUCGCCUGGGCACAAAGUAACAUUCUGACCUCUUUGAGGCUCAUUCCAUAUUUUUUAGAAUCAAUAAACUUCAAAUGCAGUACCAGAAAUACCAACUAGUCAGUAAGUCCAGUCAAGUUACGUUAGAAGUAAAAGCAGUGUGUUGUAAGGGCAACAUUUUCUUAAGGAACUGCUAUUCAGGCAUAUUUGUUGUUUCAAUUAGCCUGAUUUAGUGGCUCAGUAAGGGGGCUGCAGCCUGUAGCAGCCAAAUUACUCAGACUGUAAUUUGAUUUCUAAAGCUGCCAUUCAGGUACUAAGGAAACAAAAAGAUGUGGUAAAACCGCACUGUGACAGCAGAUGUACAGACCCUGAUGCGCUUAAUGUGCAGUAUAUCUGUCAGGAGGAUACAAGGGUUCACGGCAUGAUCACCCGCAUUUCACAUCCCAUCAGAGUUGCAUGUUUUGCUCUCCUGGCUUUGAUCGUCGGUCCCUGGGGAGGGGCAUGGAAAGGUGGUAGAAUGGUGGUGUUUUUUUGGAACUGCUGCCCUGAAGGGAUGUUUAAACAAAAAAAGAAAGUAAAAUUAAUGUGUGUGGAAAGUGCCAGACUGACAGCCUUAGCGAGUGAAACACUACCUAUUUGAAGGCUACCCACGUUUUAUCUGCUAGAGCUGUCAGUAUAGUACCAUCCCUCCGCAUGAAAUGUAUUCUUUUCUGUUUAAACUGUCCCUUGUUUCUCUAAAUUGCUCAGUCCUGCAUCCGAGAAAGAUUCAGACAGUACUAAUGGGGGUAAGGAGUUGGGCUGCUGAAAACUAGGAAGAAAUGCUGGCAAGUUUGCCCUCUCUUUUGGAGAUACUUAGAAUUUGCAAGAGGCUAGAAAUGAUUUAAAAAUAAAAUUUAUGCAGAAUGAUGUGAAGCAUAGCUCUGCUUUCAAACUGGAAACUGUUGGGAACAGAAGCUUGUUUCUCUCCUUAGUAAAUCAGGGCUUAUCCAUGUUGUAACUCUUUGGAAAGAGACCUCCAUGCUCUCUUCUUAAGAGCUACAUAACCAAGAUCUUGUCCAGAUAUCUGCAGCAUAGAGAGGUGCUGCAGAAUGGCUCCCUGGCUUUCUUGGUAGGAGGGUGCAACAGUUUGGAUCUUGCCGAUAGAAAUGAAGAUAACCACGUAAACACUAACAGCAAAGUUUGAAUCUUAACAUCUGAAUUAUUCCAGCUGAGUCCAUUUAAAAGCUGCCAUUCUUAUACUCAGAAAAAAAGUAAGCUGGGAGACUUUGGUUUCCUCUGCUACUCCGUUACCCUUGAACAUGCUUCUUUGUCAAUCUGUGCUCCUCAGGCAGCAUGCAAGCUGCUUAUUUUGGAAGAGACUGUUUUACCCUGUUUCUCCAUAUUUGACGCAUAAUGUAGAAACUCAUCUCCAUCCUACAGGUUGGGCACUUUGGGAGAUGCCAUGAUCAGCUGCUGUUUAGAUCAUGUGGCAGGAAGUCACGGAGAAAAGAGAAGUCCUCCAGGACUCCAGAUAUCCUUCAGAGCUUGGAGAGUAGAAAACCUAAUCUAAAUGUGGUCUUGGAUCUGUUGCUUUUUGGCACUGGUAACAAGAUAUUUAAUUUAUUGGAUAUACAGAGAGUCAAAUUAGGUCCCUGCAGUGUUAUGCAUAGGUAAAUUUACAUCUAUAACCCCACAGUACAAUCUUCAAAGCUUCUGAUACAUGAAUCUGAAGAUCUUUUCUAAGAAGUUGAAUUUUACAAGUAUUUGAGCUUCUCCCUUUUUCAGAUGCCGUAGUAAAAAUGAAGUAGUCCAAUAUCCGUUCCAUGAAAAAUCUACUCCAUUUAUAAGAAAUUCCCUCACAGUAUUUGAAAGGGUGAUGAGGUUUUGAGGAGCAUUCCAGGAGGAGGAAGUGGAGCCAAAACUCUUGACUACUUUAAAGGGCUGCCUGAGAAGAGUAUGAACAAGAUGGUUGCCCAUUGCAGCUCUCUCCCUGUCAGGCUCUCUCCCUGUCCAGAUCUGUCAUCUGAUGUUCUGCAGAUCAUCCUCCCUGCCUUCACUACAUCUGCUGUUUAUUAAAAACUGUGUUCCUGGCUUAGAUGUGAACCCGCACACUGAAUGCCCCAUCAUCCUAAUGAUGUGUGCCAUUGGUUUUGAACUAUUCUAUUAGUGGACUGAGGCAAUUUUGCUGAUAUUUAACGUUUUGUCCCAGCAUUCUAAAACUUCUCUUUGCCUCCUGUUUCCCCCGUUUAAAACAGGGAUACCUUCACCAGUAUUUUCAAAGAGGGGCUCCUGGAACUAUUCUAUAUGUAUAUUCAGUUUCAGACACCUAAAGCAGUAGCCUGAGGUACAAGGCAGCCAUGGCUGACCUCCAGUACCACAGACAUCUGUGGGAGCUGCCGGUGUUGACACGGGCAUCAAAUCUAUCUAGUCUCAAGUUUUUUGCGUCAGACUUGCUCAUCUAGCUCUGGCUGAUCCAUUUGUAUCUCACGUGCUGGCAAUUUGGCUGCAUCUCUCCUCUUCCAGGACUCCACAAAGCAAGUGCAGCUGAUCCACCCCCUGACCACUGGAUGGGUGUCAGAGCUGGAGGGAGCCUACAGGGCAGUGUAGCCACCAGGAAGGUGCCUUAGCCUCUUCUCUCAUGUGAGUGCAGUGUGUAUGGCGGGGGGUGUUGGGGCAGGUGGACUGGAGCAACUGCCAUAUGCAAAGGAGGAGGGGAAUUAAGGAUCCCAGCCAUAUGGCCCAACACAUCAGCCUAAUCGGUAAGGUAACAAAAAAAGGUAUAUAUGUUUUCCAGGCAUCCCCUGCUGCUGUUCUGAGAUUGUUUCUCUGAUUUCCCUUCCCCAGAGGCAAAGGACUGGUAUGGUUUCUUUGUGCUAAGUAUCAGUUCUCUUCCUUUUGUUUUAGCCUUUCUCCUCUCUCUUUUUUUUCCUCUCCAUUUUGGCCUGCUCUCAGGUGGCAGCAAACUCACUUCCCUGCCUUUGCUGGCAUGAUCGUAGGAGAAAAUGUGAUAGUGUGGACACAGCACUGAAGCAGGAGAACUCAAGAGGUGUGAAAUUUGUCUUCAUCGCAGACCUGCUGCACUGCCUUUGGUGACUCGUAACACCUUUCCGUGGUUCUGUUUCCCUCCUAACUUCCUGCCAGUCUAACCUCCUAGACCAGAAGCUCUCUGGGGCAAAGACCUGCUUUUACUGUGUGAUCAUGCAGUGUCUAAUACAAUAGGUCCCAACCUCAGGUAAGACCUUUAGAUACUCCCAUUAUAUGAAUGAGAACAAGAUUGUUUGUGUCAGUAAUUAACAUUCUUGUGGGAUUGUUGGAAAUGCUUUGGGAUAAACGCUGCCUGGAA